rnacentral:rRNA from 1 species
UACAGAGGUCUCAAGCGUUGUUCGGAUUCAUUGGGCGUAAAGGGCGCGUAGGCGGCGGGGCAAGUCGGGUGUGAAAUCUCAGGGCUCAACCCUGAAACUGCACUCGAUACUGCUCUGCUUGAGGACUGGAGAGGAGACUGGAAUUCACGGUGUAGCAGUGAAAUGCGUAGAUAUCGUGAGGAAGACCAGUGGCGAAGGCGGGUCUCUGGACAGUUCCUGACGCUGAGGCGCGAAGGCCAGGGGAGCAAACGGG